rnacentral:rRNA from 1 species
AUUGAACGCUGGCGGCAUGCUUUACACAUGCAAGUCGAACGGUAACAGGCCUUCGGGUGCUGACGAGUGGCGAACGGGUGAGUAAUGCAUCGGAACGUGCCCAGAGGUGGGGGAUAACGCAGCGAAAGCUGUGCUAAUAUCGCAUGUGAUCUGAGGAUGAAAGCGGGGGACCAAGCAGCAAUGUUUGGCCUCGCGCCUCUGGAGCGGCCGAUGUCAGAUUAGGUAGUUGGUGGGGUAAAGGCCUACCAAGCCGACGAUCUGUAGCUGGUCUGAGAGGACGACCAGCCACACUGGGACUGAGACACGGCCCAGACUCCUACGGGAGGCAGCAGUGGGGAAUUUUGGACAAUGGGCGCAAGCCUGAUCCAGCAAUGCCGCGUGCGGGAAGAAGGCCUUCGGGUUGUAAACCGCUUUUGUACGGAACGAAAAGGCUCUGGCUAAUACCUGGGGCUGAUGACGGUACCGUAAGAAUAAGCACCGGCUAACUACGUG